rnacentral:lncRNA from 1 species
CUUUUUUGCCCCUCAGGAUCAAAGAAAGGGUCAAAAAGCCUUUAGUAGUGUAGCCUAUUUUGAUUUAGAGGAUCGCGUACGUGGUGGAGGCGGCGGUCUGAUGGAGAUGGACGGCGCCGUGCCUAGCACCGCCGGUGGCGGUUACAUCAGACCGCAGAUAUACCACAAGGGACCAGGUCUUUUGCAGCGAUGA